GACCCAUUAGCUCAGCCGGUAGAGCACGUGACUUUUAAUCACGGUGUCCCGCGUUCGAUCCGCGGAUGGGUCACCA
rnacentral:tRNA from 1 species